AGCAGUCAUCCAAGGUUUUAAAAAGAACAGGGGUAGGCUUAGGGGUCUCACUUGUGCCUGGGCGGGACAGGGCAAGGCGGGCGUACCUUUUCCUUUCUGUGACUCUAUUUAAUUUUCCUGGGAGCCAGUUCUAUUUUGGCCCAGGGCUUGUGUUUCUUAGAGUAGCAGAGAGUUGAGGGGCCAGGUAAAAAAAAUAGAUCGCCCGCCGGCUACCUAUCGAAGCCGAAAGAGCCAUCCUUUCCACCAACAUGGAGGACGGCCAUUGCUACCCCUUCGAGGACGUUCUCGCUCACUUCAACUGCAAGGAGGAAACGGGCCUCACUGCUGCCCAGGUCAAGGAUAACCAAGAAAAAUAUGGCCCCAACGAACUGCCAGCAGAAGAGGGCAAGAGUCUAUUGCAGCUGAUCCUGGAACAGUUCGAUGACUUGCUUGUCAAGAUUCUUCUGCUUGCUGCCAUCAUCUCCUUCGUCUUGGCGUGCUUCGAGGAAGGUGAGGAGACCGUCACUGCCUUCGUCGAGCCCUUCGUCAUUCUGCUUAUCCUGAUCGCAAACGCCAUCGUCGGCGUGUGGCAGGAGCGAAAUGCCGAAUCCGCUAUCGAAGCCCUGAAGGAGUACGAGCCCGAGAUGGGCAAAGUUGUCCGAGCCAACAAAUCUGGUGUCCAGAAGAUUAAGGCCAGGGAGAUUGUUCCUGGUGACAUCGUUGAAAUUUCAGUCGGUGACAAGAUCCCCGCUGAUCUCCGCCUCACGAAGAUUUACUCCACGACGCUCCGCAUUGACCAGUCCAUCCUGACUGGAGAGUCGGUGUCCGUCAUCAAGCACACCGAUGCCAUCCCCGACCCCAAGGCUGUCAACCAGGACAAGAAGAACAUCCUCUUCUCUGGCACCAAUGUCGCUGCCGGCAAGGCUCGUGGUGUUGUCAUUGGCACUGGCCUCGCAACUGCUAUUGGUAAGAUUCGCACACAGAUGGCUGAAACUGAAGAAAUCAGGACCCCCCUGCAGCAGAAACUUGAUGAAUUUGGUGAGCAGCUCUCAAAGGUUAUUUCCAUUAUCUGCGUUGCUGUCUGGGCUAUCAACAUUGGUCACUUUAAUGAUCCUGCUCACGGUGGUUCAUGGAUCAAGGGUGCCAUCUACUAUUUCAAGAUUGCUGUUGCCUUGGCUGUCGCUGCUAUUCCAGAAGGUCUGCCUGCUGUCAUUACCACUUGCCUUGCCCUGGGCACCCGUCGUAUGGCCAAGAAGAAUGCUAUUGUGAGGUCUUUACCAUCUGUGGAAACUCUGGGUUGUACAUCUGUUAUCUGUUCUGACAAAACCGGCACACUUACAACUAACCAGAUGUCUGUCUCCCGUAUGUUCAUCAUGGAUAAGGUUGAAGGCAACGACUGCUCUCUUCUAGAAUUUGAGAUUACUGGCUCCACUUAUGAACCUAUUGGCGAUAUCUAUCUGAAGGGUGCUAAAGUUAAGGGUGCUGACUUUGAAGGUCUACAGGAACUUGCCACUGUUUGUAUCAUGUGCAACGAUUCUUCAGUUGAUUUCAAUGAAUUCAAGAAUAUUUUUGAAAAGGUAGGUGAAGCCACUGAAACUGCUCUUGUUGUCCUGGGAGAAAAGAUUAACCCAUACAGCGUAUCAAAAACUGGCCUUGACCGUCGUUCUGCUGCUAUUGUUGUUAAGGGUGAUAUUGACACAAAGUGGAAGAAGGAGUUCACCUUGGAGUUCUCUCGUGAUCGUAAGUCCAUGUCUUCAUACUGUGUGCCUCUCAAGCCUACUCGCCUUGGAACUGGUCCCAAAAUGUUCUGCAAAGGUGCUCCUGAAGGUGUACUUGAACGCUGCACCCAUGUCCGCGUUGGUACACAGAAGGUUCCUCUUACUGCUGGUGUAAAGGAAAAGAUUCUUGAAGUCACCCGUGAUUAUGGCUGUGGUCGUGACACCCUUCGUUGCCUUGCCCUUGCUACUAUUGACUCUCCAAUGAAGCCAGAAGAUAUGGAUCUCGCUGAAUCUAGCAAAUUCUACACAUAUGAGGUUAACAUGACUUUCGUGGGUGUCUGUGGUAUGCUUGAUCCUCCCCGCACUGAAGUAUUUAACUCCAUCCAGAUGUGCCGUGCUGCUGGCAUCCGUGUCAUUGUCAUCACUGGUGACAACAAGGCUACUGCUGAAGCUAUCUGCCGUCGUAUUGGUGUAUUCAGGGAAGAUGAAGAUACAACUGGCCUGUCUUACUCUGGUCGUGAAUUUGACGAGCUCAGUGAAGAUGAACAGAGAAAGGCUUGCAUGCGUGCUCGUCUCUUCUCUCGUGUAGAGCCAUUCCACAAAUCUAAGAUUGUUGAGUACCUUCAAGGAGAGAAUGAAAUUUCUGCCAUGACUGGUGAUGGUGUCAAUGAUGCGCCUGCUCUUAAGAAAGCUGAAAUUGGUAUUGCUAUGGGUUCUGGCACUGCUGUUGCUAAAUCUGCAUCUGAGAUGGUACUUGCUGAUGACAACUUCUCAUCUAUUGUAGCUGCUGUUGAAGAAGGUCGUGCCAUCUACAACAACAUGAAGCAGUUCAUCCGUUAUCUCAUUUCCUCUAACAUCGGUGAGGUCGUGUCCAUUUUCCUGACAGCUGCUCUUGGCUUGCCAGAGGCUCUUAUUCCUGUCCAACUUCUGUGGGUCAACCUUGUCACUGAUGGUCUUCCUGCCACUGCCCUUGGUUUCAAUCCUCCUGAUCUUGACAUUAUGGAGAAGCCCCCACGUAAAGCUGAUGAAUCUCUGAUCUCUGGCUGGCUCUUCUUCCGUUACAUGGCCAUUGGAGGAUAUGUAGGCUGUGCAACAGUAUUUGCUGCCUCCUGGUGGUUCAUGUAUGACCCAACUGGUCCUCAACUCAACUACUAUCAGCUGUCUCACCAUCUUUCCUGUCUCGGUGAUCCUGAAAACUUUGAGGGAUUGGACUGUGGUAUCUUCAACCACCCUGCCCCCAUGACCAUGGCUCUGUCAGUGUUGGUCACCAUUGAGAUGCUCAACGCCUUGAACAGCUUGUCUGAGAACCAGUCGCUGCUUGUGAUGCCUCCCUGGGUCAACUUCUGGCUGCUGGCGGCUAUGGCCCUCUCCAUGACCCUUCACUUCAUCAUUCUCUACGUUGAAAUCCUUGGUACUGUGUUCCAGGUGAUGCCUCUUACUGUAGCUCAGUGGGUAGCAGUAAUGAAGAUUUCUCUUCCUGUUUUGUUGCUGGAUGAAACACUCAAAUUCGUUGCCCGCACAUACGCCGAUGCCUUGGAAGGCAGGCAAUGAACUACUGUACUAUGUGACAAAUAUAAGCCUCUCUGGUUGCCAACAGUAAGUUAUCUAGUGCCCGAAGCAGUCAAGUAAGAGCACCCGACAUAUAGAAGUAAACCAUGGCCAUCACAGGAAGACCUCAGGCACCUGGCUAUACUACUAUUACUACUAUAGUUGUAGAUAUUAAUUUCUAAUAUCUUCCACUAAUUCUUUUUUCUAUAUUCUCUCUUUUAGUAUCAAAGUAAUUUAAUUCAAGAAGUAGACAUAGCAGCAAGUAGUCGUUAACUUAUUUAUUCUUUCUCUAUGUACUUAGUCACUAAUAUGUUCACGACUAUUCAUUACAGUGCCCGGCAAGAUCGAAGAACAAUGGUAAAAGUUGGCAAAAUACCAUCUUCUUCUCCAGCUUUUCCAUACGUUUUAACAGCCAGUAGUCAUAGCUGUACUAACCUGCCAGCCGUCAGUGCCACACCUGUGAUGAGCCCAGCACCACCCCCACCAUGGCCAUUGUCCCUUGGGAAGAAGGAGCACUAAGCAACAUCUCCAGCAGGAUUUCAUAAAUCCUGUAAUAAUUAGGUCCCUGACUUAUCUACACUCUCAAGGGGCACUGGCUGUGGGUCAACGGAGGGGCAGCAGCAGACGGCGGUGGUGUGCGAGGUCCUUCACCUCCACCAGAGAUCUCAGCCUCCCCCUGCAGCACCCUAUGUACAACCUUCCGAGCUCAGAAGGUCAAGGCAUCAUGACCACACAUCAAACCACAAAGUGCGCAGGGGGAGGAUCCAACCAAUGGCCCAUCACCAUGCCAACAUUCUCCAUCCAAUGGAUGAUAUGUAGAGAAGGAUUUGUACAUUUAUUGUGUUGUAAUUUGAUUUAGAAGAACUAGAAUAUUUUGAUUCCCUUUGUUAAACUGUUAGUCUAUUGCUCUUGGGCAAACAUUACCAGAAGUCACAUGAAGUGUGUUGUGUCCUGUGUCUGUGCUCAUGUCAACUCACCCAUCAAAGAGCAAUGUACGACCAUAAAAGAUCCACUUGUUUCCAGGUGCAACGAUGGGGAACUGGUCUGUACCCCAUUUUGUACGAGCCACUCAUUUAUUGUUGAUAGAAUAAAAUUAUCUAAAAAGACCUCA